rnacentral:tRNA from 2 species
GCGGCACUAGCUCAGUUGGUAGAGCGCAACCUUGCCAAGGUUGAGGUCACGAGUUCGAACCUCGUGUGCCGCUCCA